CCCCCAUCGUCUAGAGGCCAAGGACAUCUCUCUUUCAAGGAGGCAGCGGGGAUUCGAAUUCCCCUGGGGGUAGGG
rnacentral:tRNA from 1 species